UGCACAUGCCACGCUUCCCCACAUAUCUCUUGUGUUUACAUCAUGUGGGAUUGAGAUAUCAGACAGAGAUCAUGAGAGAGGGAGGCGGAGCUGCUGGCGGAGCACGGCGGCGGUGGAUCUGUUGACGCGUGGACCACUCACUCCCGCUAAACCAAGGGUGGUCAACACAGCGAUGAAGGUGUUCCGAUCACUUUGGCGACGAUGGCGUUUAUCCUCCUUGUCCUCUUAUCAUUUUUUACGCCUGAGUGUGGUGGUGGCUACAUGAAAUUGCUUAGUGUUGAUGUGGAUCAAAAGAAAUUUGGCAAUGAUACUCCUUACAGGUUAUUAUUUACAAAUAUUAUUUCAUAUUGUAUUCAUGUUAUUAUUGCUUAUUGAUAUUAAUGUUUAUUACAAUAUCAUGUUCGGACCUCCUAUUUGUGGGUAUCAUGUUUGGACCACAUAUUUGUGGGUAAUCAUGAAUUCAUGAUGAUGUGGAAGUUGGGAUGAAAGGUCACCCUCCUCGAAAAGAACAUGCGGAUGGUGAUUCCUUGGUACAUGUAGGGCAUGACUUACUGUGGUAAAUGUUGUGUUUAUGAUGCGUUUAAUUGUGCUGACAUGGGACUGAGACAAUGUGAUAUAAUUCAUGCCCAGAGGUGAAGAUUAAGUUGUUCACCACAUAUAAGAAGAUACUGGUAAAGCAUAUACUUUAAGGGGAAUAUGCAUGGAGUGGAGAAGUUGUUAUGUGCAACGCCCAACUUUUACACAUACAAAAUUUAAAAAAAUAUGGCAUACUAAUCUUUAACAAAAAUUGAGCAUGACCCGUUCAUACAUUAAACAA